rnacentral:rRNA from 1 species
UACAGAGGGGGCAAGCGUUGUUCGGAAUUACUGGGCGUAAAGGGCGCGUAGGCGGCCUGUUAAGUCGAACGUGAAAUCCCCGGGCUCAACCCGGGAACUGCGUCCGAUACUGGCAGGCUUGAAUCCGGGAGAGGGAUGCGAAAUUCCAGGUGUAGCGGUGAAAUGCGUAGAUAUCUGGAGGAACACCGGUGGCGAAGGCGGCAUCCUGGACCGGCAUUGACGCUGAGGCGCGAAAGCCAGGGGAGCAAACGGG